rnacentral:rRNA from 1 species
CACUUCUAAGGAAGGCAGCAGGCGCGCAAAUUACCCAAUCCUGACUCAGGGAGGUAGUGACAAGAAAUAACAAUAAACCGGCCUAUGCCGGUUUAAUUGGAAUGAGUACAAUUUAAACAUCUUAACGAGGAACAAUUGGAGGGCAAGUCUGGUGCCAGCAGCCGCGGUAAUUCCAGCUCCAAUAGCGUAUACUAAAGUUGUUGCAGUUAAAAAGCUCGUAGUUGGAUUUCUGUGGGGACGGAGCGGCCGGCCGCACAUCGCGGUUCGAGCUAGCGCUUUCCCUACAUCCUGCCGCGAACCGUGCUACCAUUAGUUUGGUGGCGCCGGGGAUCGGCUCGAUUACUUUGAGAAAAAUAGAGUGUUCAAAGCAGGCCACAUGCCUUGAAUAAGUUAGCAUGGAAUAAUAACUAAGGACUUCGGUUCUAUUUUGUUGGUGUUCGGGACCGAAGUAAUGAUUGAUAGGGACAGUUGGGGCGGUCUGCAUUCCAAAGCGAGAGGUGAAAUUCUUAGACCUUCGGAAGACAAACAGCUGCGAAAGCGUUCCGCAAGGAUGUUCCCUUUGAUCAAGAACGAAAGUUGGGGGAUCGAAGACGAUCAGAUACCGUCGUAGUCUCAACUAUAAACUAUACCAGCUAGGGAUCGGCCAACGUUAUUUUAUACCGACUUGGUCGGCACCUUAUGAGAAAUCAAAGCAUCUGGGUUCCGGGGGGAGUAUGGUCGCAAGGCUGAAACUUAAAGGAAUUGACGGAAGGGCACCACCAGCCGUGGAGCCUGUGGCUUAAUUUGACUCAACACGGGAAAACUUACCAGGUCCAGACAUAGUAAGGAUUGACAGAUUGAUAGCUCUUUCUUGAUUCUGUGGGUGGUGGCGCAUGGCCGUUCUUAGUUGGUGGAGUGAUUUGUCUGGUUAAUUCCGUUAACGAACGAGACCCCAGCCUGCUAAAUAGCGCGCGUGAGCUUUGCUCGCGGCGAGCUUCUUAGAGGGACUAUGAUGCGCGAUAGCACAUGGAAGUUUGGGGCAAUAACAGGUCUGUGAUGCCCUUAGAUGUUCUGGGCCGCACACGGGCUACACUGGCGCCUGCAACGAGCAUAUCAGCUGGCCCGAGAGGGUCUUGGCUAAUCUUUUGAACCGGCGCCGUGCUUGGGAUUGACCUUUGCAAUUGUUGGUCAUGCAACGAGGAAUGCCUUGUAAACGCGAGUCAUCAGCUCGCAUUGAAUACGUCCCUGCCCUUUGUACACACCGCCCGUCGCUCCUACCGAUGAAUGUUCCGAUGAAAUUUUCGGAGAGUGCCUGUGAACUUGGCUCUGCCUUGCGAACGGGAAGCUCAGAGUCACUUAAAUCUGAACAUUUCGAGG